UCCCUGGUGGCCCAGAUGGUAAAGCACCUGCCUACAAUGCAGGAGACCUGGGUUCAAUCCCUGGGUCGGGAC
rfam:TPA: Bos taurus chromosome 26, whole genome shotgun sequence.